rnacentral:rRNA from 1 species
UGCUAGUUGUACGAGUUUAGACUCGUAGCAGAUAGCUCAGUAACACGUGGCCAAACUACCCUAUGGAUCCGGACAACCUCGGGAAACUGAGGCUAAUCCGGAAUACGACUCUCAGCCUGGAAGUGGCGAGAGUCAGAAACGCCCCGGCGCCAUAGGAUGUGGCUGCGGCCGAUUAGGUAGACGGUGGGGUAACGGCCCACCGUGCCCAUAAUCGGUACGGGUUGUGAGAGCAAGAGCCCGGAGACGGUAUCUGAGACAAGAUACCGGGCCCUACGGGGCGCAGCAGGCGCGAAACCUUUACACUGCACGAAAGUGCGAUAAGGGGACUCCAAGUGCGAGGGCAUAUAGUCCUCGCUUUUCACUACCGUAAGGAGGUAGUAGAAUAAGUGCUGGGCAAGACCGGUGCCAGCCGCCGCGGUAAUACCGGCAGCACGAGUGAUGACCGCUCUUAUUGGGCCUAAAGCGUCCGUAGCUGGCCACGCAAGUCUAUCGGGAAAUCCGCGCGCUCAACGCGCGGGCGUCCGGUGGAAACUGUGUGGCUUGGGACCGGAAGAUCUAGAGGGUACGUCUGGGGUAGGAGUGAAAUCCCGUAAUCCUGGACGGACCACCGGUGGCGAAAGCGCUCUGGAAAGACGGAUCCGACGGUGAGGGACGAAAGCUCGGGUCACGAACCGGAUUAGAUACCCGGGUAGUCCGAGCUGUAAACGAUGUCUGCUAGGUGUGCCACAGGCUACGAGCCUGUGGUGUGCCGUAGGGAAGCCGUGAAGCAGACCGCCUGGGAAGUACGUCCGCAAGGAUGAAACUUAA